CCUCAAGGUUUAGGCUGCUGCUCUGCAGUCUUGUCUGAUCUUGGAAGCUAAGUGGGGUUUGAGCCCUGGUUGGUACUUGGAUGGGAAACCACCAGGAAAUCCCAGGCAUAUAGGC
rnacentral:rRNA from 1 species